rnacentral:rRNA from 1 species
ACAGGAUUAGAUACCCUGGUAGUCCACGCUGUAAACGAUGUCGAUUUGGAGGUUGUGCCCUUGAGGCGUGGCUUCCGGAGCUAACGCGUUAAAUCGACCGCCUGGGGAGUACGGCCGCAAGGUUAAAACUCAAAUGAAUUGACGGGGGCCCGCACAAGCGGUGGAGCAUGUGGUUUAAUUCGAUGCAACGCGAAGAACCUUACCUACUCUUGACAUCCAGAGAACUUAGCAGAGAUGCUUUGGUGCCUUCGGGAACUCUGAGACAGGUGCUGCAUGGCUGUCGUCAGCUCGUGUUGUGAAAUGUUGGGUUAAGUCCCGCAACGAGCGCAACCCUUAUCCUUUGUUGCCAGCGGUUCGGCCGGGAACUCAAAGGAGACUGCCAGUGAUAAACUGGAGGAAGGUGGGGAUGACGUCAAGUCAUCA